rnacentral:lncRNA from 1 species
CUAAAAUUAAUUUAAACAAUAAAUAAAAACAAUAAACAUGUAAAGACAUAAGAAUAAAUUAUAAAAAAUUUGUUGCGCGUUUAAAUUUGAUACUGGAAUAUUGUCUGAAUUUGUUGCUCUCAAAAUAUGCAAGUUUUACAACUUUUUAGUAACAAAUGAGCAACAAAUACAAAUAUUAUUAACAAUUGAUUCUGCUCAUUUUGUUCUGUUAACUUAUAAGACGUUGAUAAAUCUCCUAAUGUCUUUUUCGCUCUUCCUCUGUUCUCCGAUUUCUUGCAUCACAUUUCUUCUUUCUUAUAGUUCUAGUUGCAUGUAUCGUAACUGGUACGACAGUACUCUUUCUUCUUCAACUCCCUUCGCACGAUAAGUUUUGUCUGUAUUGAGCUGUUUUUACAUCUUACACUGAUAUACGAUGGUGAAAGCUUUAUAAACUGAUACAAUUUUAACUAUAUAAAUUGAUCUUCUUUUGUCGCUAUUUUUUGUUAUAUAAUUAAUAGGAUAUAACGCAAAACUGAAUAAAUUAUUAUUAUAUACAGUUAAAAGUACAUGCAAAUUUAAAGGUUAUUGCACUAAUACAGAAAUUUUUAAUGUAUUUAAUGUUUUAUGUGAAUCUCGUUUAACAAUGAAUCUCUUUUUGGUUAUUUAUCUUGUUUUCGAAAGUCAUCUGAGAAUAACCUUCUGUGAAGCGCUAUUUGAAGAAGAAAGCCCGCGGAGCUUUGAUCUUGCCCCUUGAGAUCCUCAGAAUUGUACGAGUAAAUAAAUAUCCCGGUAAUUCGAUGCUAGCCCAUUAGGAGAAAAACAAAAGAGUCUGAAUGGGACGGAGAAAUUUUCCGGCAGAUAAUUGAAAUUGGAGACGCAUUACGCUCUUUCGAGUACCUAGCCGAGAACAUAUUCCGUUUACCGUGCAAGUACAGACUGCGCAGUUCGCUAACUAUACUUUUAAAGUUUCUAAAUAUAGCGGUAAGACAAAACAACAAUCCAUUGCUGCUCUCAUCGUACUCAGUUUUAUAUUACUUAUAAUCCUGUGAAAUAUACCUUUCCAUAAAUUCGUUGCUUUUGUUUACCGUUUAUGAAGCUUUCUGUUAUCCCAUCAAACAAACGUGAAAUUUCCUUUUUUAUGGUAGUGCCAACAGAGAAAAUUGCGUAACUGCAUCUUCUAAUUGGACAGUGUUACGUAAUACUAAGUAAACAUCAGUAUUUUAAUAGAUAAUAAAUACGAAAUUUUAAUAAAUUAUAAAAUAUUACUUUUUUUUAUUUUUUGCAUAGUUUUGGUAAUGUCAGGUAUUUAGAUAUAUACGAACUUUAAUCAUUUUUGUUUAUUAUUGUAAAAAAUUUAUUAGAACAAUAUCAGGUAGAUAACUACAAAUCAGGCAGAUUUAUUAGUUCUAUUUAAUUUUUUAAUUUAAUUUUUAUUUUUUUCUUUUCGGACUUCUAUAUUUUAAGCGAUAUUUUGUAGAUUUGCAUCAAAUACGUAAAUUAUCAAAUUCGUGCACGAUGCGUAAACGUAAGACAUGUACCUGACUUAAUAUGUGCUCAAUUGCAGGUAUCCGUACUGCAUAUACGGAUACGCGAAAUGUACCAAGUCGUAAUUUGUAGAUCGUUGCAUCAGCAUUUAAGCGACGUUUUCGGAAAUUACGGCGGGAUGUAGCUCGCGCAGGUGAGAAGGUUUUUGCAUAAAUUGUAAUUAACAUACCAUCAAUUAUGAUUAUGACGGACACGCGUGUGGCAAGGCAAAUUAAUGUUUAUGAGUAGCGAGCUUUAUGGUCAAGAGUAAUGCGAGGCGCGCAAGGUGCCAAACUGGAAAUUAGAUCGUAGCGCAAAGGAUUUACGGUAGCCGGUAACAUCAGAUAACAACGGUAACACUUACUGUGAAAUUAAUGCUAAGCCAGCAAUCUCUGUUGUAACGUAACGUGUAUGAAUAUCACAUGAAAUAUAUUAUACAUAGAUAGAAUAUGUGUACUUUAUCAACUCUGACAUAUUUUACACAUAUAAUUUUUAAUUUACUUCUUGUAGAUAUAAUUUUUAACAUUUUGUAAAAACACAAUUGCAUUUGCAACUAAUUACGUAUCCCAGUAUUCACAAGAAUGACAAAUGAGAGUCAUUAGAUUAUGCAGUUACAUGUUGAGAGUUUCGUAUUAAUUGCUGAACGUAAUAUCCAUAAAACGGUUUAGUGCUUUUUAAAGAGAGAGUAAUAUUUUAUAUCAUAUACAUGUUUUUGAUGAAUUAAAAAUAGAGCUGCUUGUAAAAAUUAACGAUCGGGUCGAUGGUUACCGGAUGCUAUCAGCUUAAUGACCGACGCGUUACAGUCGAUAAAGCCGACAGUCAGGAGACAGAGUUUAUUACGUAUUGACAAUAUUUUACAAUAAAGAGGUAAUAUAUACGGGGGAUUUAGUUUAUAUUUGAAAGUUUCACCGUUAUGGGGUAGCGCGCGGUAGUCAUUCUUAUAGAACGCAAAGUUAAACCCACAUGGAGCUCAUAGAGAGAACGGCGCCUCCACUCCUCGGCCCCCCCACACUAACGUGCUUUAUAGUUCAUCUACAUUGGAUACCAUGGGGUGUUAUUAGAACUUUUCAGUCGUAUAAAUCUGUGCUCGCGAUGAUACUACUUCCUACAUGGAUUCUCCAAGCUGUCAUAAUACAUCCCUUAAAAACGUGCGCCAAAUGACUCGCACGAAUUAACAAUGCUAAUAGACAUUCUUUACGUAAAUGCCUAUAUCCAUAUUAAUAAACUGUAAAUUAUUAUAUUGAUUGCUUACUCUAUUCUCAGAUAUCGGGAAAUACCUAGGCAGGCACUACCCUUUUAGUUAUAGGCUAGAAACGAGACCAAACGUAACUUAAAGAGAGAGAGAGAGAGAGAAACCUUUUAAAUAUUUUUUUGUUAUUUAACACACGUACACGCACAAGCACACCUAUACACACGAGAAAGAACAAUAGAAAUAUAGAAGAGAAUGGCUCUUUGUUCUAAAUAAUCAUUUCUGAGAAAAGCUAUUAUAAUGGCGCGUAGUAACCAAAGAGUUAAAAAUACAUCUUCGAUAAUAUUAAAAUUAAAAAUAAAUCGAGCUAAUGGAUCGGUGUGAUCUUCCCCGCAGUGAUUUUGAGAUAUCAAUCCGUUGUAAUUGUAUUCGGUUUCCUUUCGGUAACAGCUGAGAAAUCGUAAUAAAUCUCCGUCGUUGGUGAGAUAAUAUUGCGAGAAGGUGAGAUUCACGUCCGUAGCGCAUAUCCGGGAAUUUGAGAGCGAAUGGCAGGGAUUACGGCGCGCGGCCACACGCUUUGAAACUUGGUGGUUUUAAGGUGCGCGCGCGGCGCAAGAGACGUGUCGGCCAAACGAAUGGUCUUCCUGCUCGCGGAAGCAUUUCAUGCAAAUUUGUCCCAGUGCGAUGUCACUCGUACUUUCCAGUCUGCGCGGUAACCAGCGACCUACUUUCCGUUUUCGCGCCCCUCUCGAGAGACGCUCGUUCUUUGCGCAUACAAAGCACACGGGGACUCCUCCUAACGUGUAGCCUGAUAGAGCGCUACGCUUCGUUAUACAUACAAAUAAUUAAAUAUUAAAUUAUAAAUAGUCAUCGAGAAAAAGCGUACAACUUUAAAAUAGGCGUUCGUGGAAAAUGGAAAUACGGCGCGGAUUAUAAUUUCAAUUGGAUUUCAAUUUAUAUACAUUUUCGUAUCUCAUUUAAUUACUGUUAUGUAAAGUAUGUGAAUAAAACAUGAAAUUAACUGAAAAAACAGACAGUUCAAUCUUUUAAUUAUACUCUCACUGAUGUGUUCGCUAUUUUCGUUUUCACUCUCGUUCCCAUAUUUCGCGUUUGUACUUUCGCGGCAGGCGUGCACGUGCACGACUUUUAAAACUUCGAGUUACUCCAUUUAAACCACGCCACCUAAGAAUAACUCGUGGUUUUUACGAGUGAGUUCUCGAUCAUUUUUUUCCACAUGCAUAGCGAAAUGAAGCGCGGCAGGUGCGAAACGUCGCGAGGAGCGCACGUGCGCGUAUCUGCUGCCGAAAAUACUGUCGAUCGUAUCGCGUCGGGUCACGCGAACCCCCCCGGAUUUUUAUUAACACACCAAUAUGCUGCGACGCGCACCCUCUCGUCGCGCCCGUAUUCUUUUUUUUUUUCUACCCACAGUCCACUAAGUGCGUGCGCGGCGAUCUAAAAUUAGGAUGAUACGUUUCCCACGUCCCUAUCUGCCGGUCAAUUAUCACCCUCGUCGAGUGUCUCGAUAAGGAUUCUUCGGCUAAUUGCGGGGAACAGGCGAAGUUAACGUGUCACUGUUAUAUAGCUAACGCUUUAUUUCUCAUGGCCCGAAUUCACGCCUUUGUCGUACUUAUACGCACGCGUGACCGCACCAACAAAUGCUUGCCGUGCUUUGAGGUGUACACGCUUUAUCGCUCGGAAUUAUCUAUGACAAAGUUUCGGAUAUGUAACUGUUUAAAAACCGUAUACUCAAUUUUCACGCAGCCAUCGUUCCAUCGCAUAUAAAUGACUGCAGAAAACAAUUUGAAUACCUCAUUCAUAUGUGACACGCACGAUAUUACAUUAGAAUUUUCAGAGGGAUAAAUAAAGCCUUAAAUUUAAAAAAAUUAUAGACAAAAUUGUAUUUUAUACAUUAUCUUUUCAAUUCUUAAAAAACUGAGCAUAAUGAAUGCAUAAGUCUCAAUGUUCUGAAUACAAAUGGUAAUGUCUCUUUCUCGUCAACAUUACAAUGUCUAAUAUUUUUAAUUGUAAGUUAGCAUCGAGUUACUCAUAAGAAUAGAAAUGCAUAAGCAAAUCUUAUAAUCUGUUCUACAUAGUUUCUCUAAUAGUGUUUUUUAAUGCUUAUUUCUUAAACCGCAUCGAACCGGCUACUUCAAAGUCAAAUAAAAGAGUUUGGGGUGGUGUGUGGUCCCGACGAUGGUGCUGUGCCUCCUUUACACAUCUUCAGCACGCGCCGCCAAACUUUUUCUCAAAUGUUAGCUAAGGGUUACGCGGUCCGCAGUCCGAUUUCUUCGCACGACGCGACCACGUGGACGUGUAUACGUGCUGCGAUUUAGCAAUUCGACAUUUAUCACUCAAAAGAAUUAGAAAAGCAAGCGCUGCGGGAAAUCUAACUGCGCCAUCGUCUGCACAACUUUCGCUGUGUUGUCCACGUCUCGUGUAAUUAUUUUGCAUGUUCGUAUAUACAUAUAUAAUUACGGAAUUGUGUAGUAGAAGUAACAAUAAAGGAAUAAAUGUAGAUGUCAUAGUCGAUACAAGUUCUCACUUAUCCUCCUUGUGAUCCUUAUUAUCUUAUACAAACUAUCGAUGUUGCCAAUAUCUAGAGGGUUGAUCUCGGCUUGGCGAGUAAUGAAUGUUUAUUAGGGCAGGAUACGUUGACGGAUCUCAGUAGACUCGAGACGGAUCGAUAUGCGUUGGUCUAGACGUUCGUGCCUCGAAAUAAUUGGUUGACUCUGAUCCUGCAUUCUGUGUUCGUGAGAGGUAAACAUUUGUGAUUGCCUGCGCUUCAAAUACGUCCACGUACCGACAUAAAUCAAUAAAGCUGGUCAGUCAUUUAAGAUAUUCUCGAAUAUUAAUGUUUUAAAUAUGAAUUAUAUAUAUAAAUAAUGGUUUUAAAUAUGAAUCUUCUAACAAGUGAAAAAAAUAACUUUAAGUCAUUUUCCGAUAUAUCUUUGUGCGAAAUUUUAUUGAUAUUAUUUUGGCAGAAUUCGUCUAAGAAAUCUAUUUGCUCAACAGAUAAAUUCCUUUAGUUUAUGUGACUUUUCGUAAAUGCCGAUAUAUACAAGAACAAUUGCAUUUGCAUACAUCGGUAUCUGGUGUUCGCAAUUAUGCACCACGUGGAAAUAGAAGUAGCUAAAGUUUAACUAGCUUCGCAAUGAAAUGGUCUCGUUUUCUUCAUCAACUGAAAUUGCGGGGAAUUAGCUUCUGGCCGCUGUCCAGAUUACUUCUGUAUUGUACUUCUCUAUCUACCGCAUCUUGUCUCAUUUGAUUUAAAUGAUGCGAAUUUUGAAAAUGGUGAGCUAGUGACAAGUAAUCACAGAUGAUUUAAAAUCUCUAUAGUACUGAUAUCAAUCUUAGAUAAAAAUUUUUAUAAUAUUUUAUUUUUUCUUUCCAAGAUAUUAAUUUACGUAAUGCAGCAAAUUAGCAUACUUAAUUUCACUUUGAACGGGCAAUAUCAUCGCUCUAAUGGCGUAAUUAUCCCGUAAUGCUUUAACCGGGGGACGGAUAACGCAUCGGCCGGAGUAGGCAAAAUUACAACGAAAUUGCAGUGAAAGAAUUGAUACGUAGCGCGUUAAAUUUAGUUUCACGGUAGUGUCGGUGUGCAUUACGACCAGCCGAAUUUCUCGUAUCUGACCAAAUUCGAGUGACCAGGGGGAUAAAUUGUUGCACGCUUUUCGCAGAGCGGCUGCCGGAGAAUUGUGCAUUUGCGUCACGUAACCUGUUUUACGUUAGCGCUUUUGUUCCGCAUGAAUCUUAUUAGCGCCAACCAUUUUACAGGAAAUUGAGUUAAACAGUUUUCUGCAUUAAAGCUUUCGCUUUCCUUUCGGGUCGCUAUUGGCCUACAGGAAGUCGUGCAGAAGAUCGUGAUUGGUGAGGGAGAGGGUUAGGAUAUUUCAUUAAUAAAGCAAUAAAAAACGACAUUUAAAUGUCAUAUUCAUUUCAAUGUCAAAAUAUUUCAAAAAGGAAGCAUGUGUAUGUAACUCUUUGUUAUCACCAUUAUUUGUUAUGAUUAGUUUAUAUAUAAGAAUGCACGCGUUAUGUAAUUCAAUUACUGCACAGCAGAGUUCUGCUUUAAAAUAUAGAGGAUAAUAGUUGUUAUGAAAACAUUACAUAACUGUAUUGAAAAAAAUAAAUUGUAGUACAAAUGUAUUUUAGAAAAUGCAAGUUAAAACUCACAAGUUUUUCAAUGCAAUAUAAUCAUUAAUUGUGGAAAUUUUAUGUGUUAUUUUUUAUAUUUGAUACGAAAGUGUCUAAUGUGCAAAUUAUGAUAAAAUUAUAUAACGCUGAAACAUACUUAACAUGAAACAUAUUAAACAUACGCAAAUAAUUUUGUUUGAUUAAAUAUAUCAAUUUAAUGUUCAAUAAAUGCAAUGUCUGAUAAGGUACUGAAUAUAACUACUUUAUAUAACAGGGUUCGUCGUGGAUUAAGUUAGUUUGUACUACAUCCCCAAAAAACAAGCGAUGUAGUUACUGCCUAACGUAGUUAUAUUACAGUAACAUGUUGUCUAAGUAUAUAUAAUGCAGAGGAUAAUUCCUAUCAUCUUCGUAAACCGCACGCACGUAUUGAUCGUAACGCAAAUGUGUGUAUAUACAGGGUGGUCGGUAAACGUACUAAUAGCGGAAAUGUAUUUUAUUAAAAUCUUUGUUUUUCUCCAAAAAUAUAAAUAAAAGAUUUAAUUAUUUAAUAUUCAAGAGACCAGUGGGCUACAAUGAGUACAAAAAUCUUAAUCCUUUUUUGGAAAGUUUGUGUUACUCUGAUUACAGUAUGCCAACAUUGGCAGAUGUAUGAUAAAUAUAUAUUAUUGGAAAGGGUUACGUUAAGAACUAACUAUAAAAAAUGCGCCAUUUGAGUUAAUUACAGUAAUAUUUUGUAUUAGCAAAAAUAAAUUUAAAAAAGGACGUUAGCGUGCAAUUAUAUAAUGUACGAGUUUCAAAAAGAAAUAAAAAUAGUGAAUGCUGUAAAAAACUUUAGAAAUUUCCCAAAUUUAUCACAAAUAUUUUUCACGACCUCUAUCAUAUUUCCUUUUCAAAACAUGUAGAUUAUAAUGAAAUACAAAUGUUCGUAGAUAUCUCAAAUAGUACCAAUUUUUUUUAUUUUAGACAGCUCUUGGUAUCCCUUUUUUUAUAUAAUUCACCGUAGUAUCUGCCAGUGUUGAUACACUACAACCUCAUAGCACUAUCAAAAAGUGCUAAGAUUUUUGUGCCCUGAACUGACGAAUAUAAUAUAUAUAAAUAAAUUAAAUUUUAAAAGCAUAAAUUGAUAAAAACUUUUCUUGCAAUAAAUUUUAUACAAGUGAGCUUUAAAAAAAAUUUGUAACGCUAUAUAAAAACGUUAUUCGUUGAAAAUUAAAACAGAUACUUAUAUACAGAAUCAGAUAUAAUGAUCGUUAUUUAAUUUUUGUUGAUUACUACUUUUAAUUCUACGUUUUAUUUUAUAGUACAGAUUCGCAAAAUUCAUAUAAUAGGCGACAAAUAUGUGCAAUAUGAUUUUUGUUUGCCAAGAUGAAUUCUGCUAACGUUGCACAACGAGCAACGGCAUGGAAAUGGAAGAGAUCGAGCUUGAGAGAGGGAUGCGAAUUGAAAGACUCCACUUUAGCAUCCCCGACCUCGUUCUUCCCAUUACCAAACACUAGCAGUUUCGCUACAGUUAUAGUUGCAGUGUGUGCGACUAUGUGAAACGCGAAGACGGGGAGAAACGGGUUGGCGCGUUUUUAUUUACGACCUCACCCAAUGAAAUAACGACUGCGAGAAGGGGUGUGCAAUUGCCUUCUCAUCUCGGCGACCCACAUAAGCGCUCAUUGGCUUUCUCUAAAAACGUUAAUUGCUUAGUGUUAAUAAAGGGUUGGUACUCCAACAUUUCGUUCACUCCGUGAUUGCGUUCUCAUUUGAAUUUGACUAGAAAAAAAAAGAAAAAUUUUAUCGUGUUUAUGAUCCGCGAGUUUUAAAGAUGUAUGUCACAUCUUAAUGUAUUACAUUUUCUUACGUUUUCAAUGACCGUUUUUUUAUUAGUUUAAAAUUUAAUUAAUUUUUUAUUUGCUCUUGAGUCUUAUGUAAAUUCGCGUUUUAUAAUGUUUUACAUAUAUACUACUAAUUAAACUGAUAGAGGUCCGUGCAAAAAUUGCUGAUCCAUUUACUCGUUUAAUAGUUGUUUACUAAAAUUGCAACAAAAUGAAAUUAUUUUCGCUGCAUAAGCCAAUAAAAGCUAAAUGUUUUAUUGUUUUUCUCUUUGCAGUUAAUUAUAGAACCAAAAUUUGGAUAUUCAAGACUUGAUUUUUUUGUUGUUGAUUAUAAAAAGGAAAGGAAGUAGUAGUAGUGUAGUUUUUAUAUCUUUGUAAUUUUUGGCUGGCAUUUUAGAACCAAGAAACAUCCUUAAAUUGUAAUACGGUUUUUCGCUCCGAAACAAGUCGAAGAAAUCAAUGAAUAGUUAUUUAUCGUAUGUUUACGCAUUGUUCGUCAGGAAGAUCGUGAUAUAUCGCGUUAUGAAGAGAGAAUUUCGAACAUGUACGUCAUUCGUUGAGUUUGCCUGUAAGCACCGCUUUUUGGGCUAAACGUCGGAGUUGCCUUGUCCGAAACUUUUCGACCGUGUUGUGUCGCUUAGACAGGCAGUAGGGGCAGCGAAUUAUUCGACGCUCACCGACAGACUGCCAUGGUUGUUUGCCGAAGUGAAUGUAGAACGAUCAAUGUGAAGCUUCCUGUCCGCUGAUGGCUGCAUCGCUAGCCAUUAAUGUUCUCAUCGACACUCAAACUGUUCUAUUUUUUGUUGUUUUUGUCUCUAGUUUUUGUCUUUUAUAUAACUCAUUUCGUAUGUUUUUUUUGCAAUUCUAAAAUUUUUUUAAUUUAGUAAUAUUCUUGUAGAAAAAUAUUAAUUGUAAAAAUUAACAAACAAUUAAUACAGUAUUAGUAACUCAUUUAUUAUAUAAGUGACUUUUGUCAAAUAUAAUUCCAUUUUAGGUAAGAGAUUUAACUCUUUUGUAGAAUAUUUACCUUUUUUGCUGUUUCAUUCAUUUGUUUUAUCUUUGGUCUUUUAAAUUUAUUUAGAUAAAUAAUCGGUCAUAUAAUAUUCGAAUGUUAUAAUUACUUAAUUAUAUUUAUAUUAUAAUUUGCAAUAAAUAUUAAUAUUUUAUAAUAAUUUCUUAAAUACAUGCUUUUAUCUAUUAUUUUAUUUUUUAAGGAAAAAAGUUAAUAAAGAAACAUGAGAGCGCACCUACGCUUGAAAUUCUUGGUUGAAAAAUUUAAGUGUAUGUAUAAAAUUUAUGUGUGUGUAUAAGAAAGACCGCUCUCUUUUAUAUUUUUCCGUUCCUAUAGAUACACCCUACUGCAAUAAGCAAUAAGCGCGUCCGAUCGAUUUUCCUAAAUUCAAUUAGACGCGACAUAUUGCAGAUGCGGAUCGUCGACGCGGGUGGUCUAUACCUCGAUUUCAUCUCGAGUCGCCUCGCGGCCGUGAAAACGUUUACACCAUAAAAAACGCAGCAGAAUCCCGUCUCCCUCCACGAGAUUGCAUUAAUUCCACGCGCGACACGUAACCCUAGCAAUAAAGUGGCGUAAUUGCCGAUGCGCCCAUGCCCCUUUGGGCGCCGAGGAGGAGGAGGAAACCCCCGUCGGCAUCGGGCGCGGAAAGUACGCGCGAUGUAUGCGGGGAAAAGGGGUCAUCGACGUACAAAUCCACCCCGACAUAUCCCACACGCAGGCAGACAGUAGGUCGACUUAUGCGAGCCACGUGCACCAUUCUAAUUUGCUUACGAGCUACGGUCUUAAAGCACAAUGCGCCACGGGCUCCGGGAAUACGUGCGUCGGUCGGCCGUACGGACAAUGCACAAUGUGCCCUACACUUUCGCCCCCGCAUUGUUUCUCGAGUUCGCGAGUCCAAUGAUAUCGCCAUAGUUUUGUCAUCUACGUCCGCACGAUUGCGGUCCAUUCUGGCUAACGGAACUAAUGUAAAGCGCACGAGAAAGGAUGCGAAUAACUUAUUUAACGAUCCAACUCGCGAGCGAAUGGCAGUAAGUUUGCUUUAAUCACCUGACUAUAUCACAAAUUUGCGCCAGUUACUUAAGAAACUUUGUCGGCUUCCAGAAAUGUCGGAAGACAUCAAUGACAUAUUGUCGAAAAUGUGCGCUUGACUCUUUUUAUUUAUAUCUAAAAUCGUGCAGAAAUAUCAAAAUCAUUAUAUUAAUCAGAUGGAAUGUAUAUUAUAAUAAAAAGAGUCUAUAAAGAAAUGAGCAAUUAGUAUUUAACUGCAAUCUGUAAGACCAAAUCGCCUAGGUCGAAAUGUGGCCUCCGAGUUUUUGAGUUGAGAGUAGCACUAAAGGUUUUAUUUCAUUCUCUCAUUUCGUCCGUAACGUAUCUGGUCCAAUUUAAAUUCCAAGUAAGACCAGCGCGGAAAGCCCGAAGGACCUAAUAUAAUUCUGAAUACAAGGGGCACCCGGUACGCCUGGGAUCUAACUUGCAUACAUUUGCCAAAUAGGCACGUUAACGUUAAGAAUAGCGUCUGCAUGCCUUCCCGUAACAAAAAGAAUGAAUAUAUUUCUCGUCAAAUAUAUUAUGCUACGUUAAAAACCUUGUCACGUACGUAAAUUAGCUGUCAGUUUAUUUAUAUUAUGGAAAUAUCUCUUAUUUUAAAUAAUUAAUUGUAAUGAAUCAGCUAAUAAAAAUAUAAUUAAAAGUAAUUGAACAGAUAUACGUAUAAACCAUAAUAAUGCAAUAACAUAUAUGCCUUAGAGCAAAAUGAAAUUUUGUUUUGACUGGUAAUUCCGCAAUGUUACAUAUUGAUCGGAUCUGCAAUGCAGAUUACGAUAUUCAAGCAUGUCAAGUGAGCUUUGCAGUUGUGUGUGCAGUUUUGGGAAAUUAUUAUCUUUUUGAUCCAAGUCAUGUUUCUUAAUCAAACCUGUAUUAGAAUUGUCUAUCAAAAUUAUUCAAUUUAGAGACAAUCUUUAACAUUUUAGAAAAUUGCACGUGUAAUAAUCGAUAGAUUAGAAAAAUCAUAAUUAUAAUGAACACGUGUGAAAGCUUGUAAAUUAUGCAUUGUAAAUUGAAGUAUACGGUUGUUAACUAGUGAAAUUUACUUUUGUUAUGCAAAGUUAAUUUGACACGGUCGUUGCAUCGUUCUACGCAAGCAAGUUCCUCUUUAUUCCGUACGUACCGACACGAUCUAUAUCUUCUUGCGUGUAGUAGUGAUGCAUCGUUGCUGCUGGGUCGGCUUGCGGUAGCAAUUGAAUCACACGGGCGACAGUUUAUAGCCGUACGAUGAUCAUCAUGACCAAUACAGCGGUCACUUUACUCUGCUAUUACUCACUUCCAUCUCAAACAGUCGCGCAGGCAACCCAUUCGCCACUUCCGGCACGGUAUUGUUCCUACAAGUUCGGCCGUGCGCAGAUUCGCGUAGAUGUAUGUGCACGCGUGCACACGCGUAUAAGGCUUGAUCCUUCGUGCGUGAUGAUACCCCUUCGAAAAUGGCGGAAUCCACGUGAACGCAAAACAAGGUCGAUGUCCAUAAGAGAAAGAGAGAGAGAGAGAGAGAGGGGAUACGAUGAACGUAACGCGAUCGUCUGAGUGUGCACUCGACAAGAAAAAGCUCACCACUGUAUGCGCGAAUUCGAGCGCGGGCGUUCACCUCUCACAUUUCGCGCCAUGACUGCUGCGCGCGUGGCUACGAAGAUUAACGCAUAAAACUUGUCAGGUCGCAAUUUCUAUCUUCUAUCUCCAAACGAUCAGCGAUAGAUUUAUGCAGAAAGAAUCUCUGAAUAAUUCACAGCACACGAUUCGUCAAGUCUUUCGUCUUAUACGACGCGGAUCCUGCGAGAGGCACGAGGGGGAUGGUGAUUUCUCGCACGAUUGUGGCACCUGCUAAUGUUUCGCCGAGACGUUGACCCGAUUCAAGGUUAUGACAGAGGAACAAUUGGUCCAGAAGGUAGCGCCAACGGUCGUCACGACGGAAACGUCGAUGCGUAACGAUGCGAUUCUCUCCCCGGGUAGUGGGAGUCUCACCCUUGACCGAACGCGUCUCACACACUGCACCUCCUCCGCCUACUCGUUUUUCUUUCCCUUUUUUUUUUACCGAUCCAACGAGAUCAACAACAAUAAGAACACGGAGUAAAACGACAAGCCCGAUAACAUUGUGGCACAACGCUCCUCCGCAAGCCGAUUCUGCGCAGUGUCGUUCGCACAUUCGGAGAGGCCGACAGCAGCCACGCUACACGAAGAGAGGAUGUCGGCGAUCGUGGCGCCAUCCGCGACGGGAGGGGCGUCGGUGGUUGGUGCGGGGGUGGCACACCGACUCUACCACCCCCGCGACAUCCCAUCCGCCGCCACCUCUGCUCUGUUCCCUCGCUCUCGUUCUGCUCUCGCUCUCGCACCAUCGUAUUCCCGCCGCUCCCGCAAACCCCAUCGACCUACCGUCUUCCCUGCCGUCGUACCCGCGCGUCCCCCUUGCCGCUACCUUGCACCCUCCGUUCCCUCUCGCUAUCCCGCUCGCUCUAUCGUGGCAGCCACCACCGGCUGCGGUAUCGAUUGGCCCAGUUGUCCCUCGUCAGAGCACGGCAGUCGCUCCAACAUCCGAACACGACCCACCACCGCCUUCUUCACCUUCAUAGCCAUCUUCACCUGCCGCCCCCUUUCCUAUUUCCUGCACCACCUUCGCGUUCAUCUCUUUUUCGACGCGCGGUGAUACAAAUUGCAAAAAGGUAUUUCACGCUACUGUGAUGCGGCAAGUUGGUAAUGGGCAGAUUUUUACGACUAUCACUUCCGCCGUCGAUCAGAGUGGCACAUUCUUUUUUUUUUUGUCGCAAAGAAGGAACGAUUGUAUUCACGAAAAGAGACUUGAUAUGACGUGAACGGUAAAGAGCGAUAGAUUGGAUUAACGGCCCAUCGAUUGUUUGGAUAGCGGAAGGGAUGUUUUUAUGACGUCGCGGGAACGCGUAGUAUUGAUUAACUUCGUGUGGAUGAUCCCCGAAACUGAUAAGAAAAUAGGAUUAAAAAGCUACUUCUUCGUAAUCCUGUUAUCAUUAGGGAGGAGCUGCAAAAAUUUAUGUGAUCAAUCCAAUAUCUGGGUACUGGAAUAAUGUUAUUCUUGCUUGCACCACGAACAGAAGGGAGAAAAAUAUGUCUAUAUAUAGAAUGCUACUGACAUGUAGGAUAUCUGUAAGGCUCUUAAUUAGCAAAAGAUAGCUAAAAUCUGAAGUUUUAAUCUAUAAUUAAAACUGUCUCAAAUUAGCCGAUUAAAACAGGUAAAGCUCGGUUCAACCUGUACUUUCCGAUAUCGAGCGAACGGUAAGAAGGUAAACGAGGUACCAUCACGGAAAUACAGGCGAACAGGGCAAUGUUCGUCGGCGGUCGUGAGUAGAGCGUGGCGGAAAACAGGGGCGAAUAUAAGCGACAAAGGAGUCGGGCAUUAUUAUAUGGCGAGGCUCUGAAUGCAUGACAAUGCCAGGCUCUCUCUCUCUCUCUCUCUCUCUUUCUCAUCUCCCUCGUCUCUGCACCCUCUUUGUCUCCCGGUCGCGCUCCCGGUUACUCCCGCGGGCACCGCUCAAGCACCGCUACGGGACUAUCGUUUCACAAUGCUACGCUAACAAGGUCAGCAAUUAAUGAAUCGUUGGCAGUGCGUCGCCAGAAAAAUACGCGCAUCCAAUGGGACCGGUGUAUCAUUAAGAAAGUAGUAUGUCGGGGUAUGCCGUUUCAUGGAUCGCCGCUUCGGAUGUUCCGACAUUAGCAAUCAGCGGCCUUUGAAAGACUUUAUGAGACUGAAUACAGAUACGAAAACUGUGCACGCAGCUCAAAGUUACUUCGUUUAUUUCAGUAUCUCUGAAAGAGAGAUUACGUUGUAAUUUGUGCGCGAGAUAAUUAGCAUCCCGCAGUGGCACGAAUUCUAAUUAGAGUGUUGAUCGCAAAAAAAUAAUUGGCACUGAUAUUUUAUACACAAGAUGUUGGAAUCAACAAACGUGAUUCCAACGAAAUUGAAACAAUCAGGUAUCACUCUUGCGUUUUCAUCGCGUAAUUUUUGCGUUGGUGCACGUGAAAGGCAACCCGUCAGUAACUGAAUAUUCUUUUUAUAGCCCGUUCAUACAUUGCUAUUAUCUGUUUCACGCCAGAUGUAUUUUUCGUGAAACAGUUUCACAUUUUUGAGGCUGUAAUCUACGAAUAAAAUUGUCAACGUUGAUUCGUUAAAGCUCCGACUAUAUUACCCGAUCAUGAGCGGAAUAUAAUAUGAAAAAGACUUAUGAACGAAGAGAAUCUUUUUCGCAAAACGGUCAUUUUGCAAAUAACAUAGAAAAAACUAAUAAUAAUGUAACUCAUGACUGGAUAUGCUCGAUCUCGUUUGCAGAUAUAAUGAGGUUGGACGAUGCGUUGAAUGUGUCUUACUUUUUUCAACUUCACCGCGUCGGGAAAUUAAAAGAAACGGUAAACGUUCUCUCCCUGGACGAGAUAGAAAGCUAGUAACCAACUAUCGAGAAAAUCGUAGAAUUUUCCCUCAGGAGUGCCGCGUUCAAGAAAAGUAUAUACCUCGAGGGCUCUUACAACGCACUUUUAUAUAACGUAACGGCGAGCAUCGGUGGGCGGUAAGGUCGAGUUUUAACCUUCCCAAUCUUCAGAUUGCUUAGCUGCUUUUAGUCGAAGCACUUUUUAGCCAAUCACGCAGUAGCACUCCUUGUUACAUUCACCGAGUUCUUCCAGUAUUUACGGCGGAUUGAUCGAAAAUUCUUCCUUAUUUUUGCAGUAAGCAGUGAUUUUUAAAAUAAACCGCACACAAAUGUGCGGACAAAAUUUUGCAGUAAAAAUUACUAUGGUAAAUAUAGUAAGCGCGGACUAUGGAAGAGAUUAUGAAAAUGUUUACUAUGUUUUUCAUCAAAUUACCGUAGUAUUUACCAUGAUAAAUUCUCUGAAAUUUCUUUUUAUGGUACGUAGCUAUUAUCGUAUACAGUAAUUUUUACUAUGAAAUUUUCUCCGUGUAUAAUUCAUGAUACAACUUAUUCAUAAAAUUUUUCUUAUAUGUUAUGGAGAUUCAAGUAUCACGCGACAUAUUAUUUGGAACGUUAUUGAUCGUGUACAGACUGGUUGAUUCUUCUGAAACAUGUUGAUUUCGUUGUAUAGUCUAACGCGGAUGGGCGAUUCUGAAGAUGUUUGAAUGAUGAAUCCAAUAUCACCCUGGGUUGGGUCGCGGCAGAAGCGAAAUACACCCCCGGGACAGAAACCGUUUCCCUAAAAUAGACCAAUGAGCCGUCCCUGUUCCACAUACAUCAGGGACUUUGGGGCCGCGGCAUGUGUGCGCGCAGCGGAGCAAUGCAUCAUACGUUACAGAUUGGUUUUACGUAAAAGAACGCCUAUAUAAUGGUGUGGAUGUUUGAUGCCGAAGAGGGAAAUGGUUGGAAAAUAACGAAAGUAAAGCGCCAGCUAUCCAUUGUCGCGCAUUGUGUCCCAUUCGCGCGAUUUUUUAUCGCUUCGCAGCUCCGCGUUUUCAUGACCUAAAACCGGCCAGCCUAAAAACGACCGACGCGGAAACUUGAAAUCCCGGUUUACAUUUUUUGAAAAAUGUUUGCUCCCGUGACCUGCUACAAAGCGUCGUUUUUCUCGCUAAUUUUACGUAAUACAACGCGCAACGAGAGAAAUAUGGAUAAUAUUAAUAUAAUAAAAACGCAAGUUAGACAUUCUUUAAAAUGAGAGGACAUUAGCGUGGCAUUAGCCGUGACUUUUAAAUAUGACGUUAAAUAAGUGACACAUACAGUGAAUAGUGAAUAGCGUGUCGUCGCUUCACCACAGCCGCGUUUCUUCGCGCGCUAUAAUGUUUGCAAAGAUAUGCGCCCUCGGAAAGCGACCCCCGUCGGCGGACGCCGGAGAGAAGUACACAGUCACUAAUUACAAGGGACACGAAAUUACAUAACUUUCACGAGGUUGUAUAUUCUAAUUUGGCGGAUCGUUAAAGGUCGGUCGGUUUAUGCAUAUUCAUCAGACAUUUUUUAACGACCAUCCCCCUUCAUCCCUUCCUACCCGGCCAAAUCCAGAAGAAGCUACUUCGUAUGUCGCACGCUCUAAUGACCGUUUUGUAAAUUAAUGACGGGUGCGCAGCGUCAUUUCACGGUUGAUGGCGAUAUUACGGCCGGAGUAUAAUACGUCUACGCGGCACCUGCAAUUAACGCGCGCGGCAUUGUUGCACAUCGAUGGACGUAAAUAAACGCGGUAGUAUACAUAUGUAAACGUUUCUCGUUAUGGCCUACUCGUGGAAGCUUGCGCACGUGUAAUUGCCACCGUACACAUCGUUCGUUAAACACAAUUCAACGAUGGCAAAUUGUCUUCUCGGUUCCUUCUUUAUAUUUUCACGAUUGCGAUAAUGAAUUUUCCUCGUAGAGAGAAAGUAUUCAACGGACAAUUACAUGGAAAUGUAUUCUUAUCAAGAUUACGGUUUCAUUAAUUUCGUUAAAAUGGAGAAAAAAGUGCAGACAUCUGAAUACUUAUUAUCUCAUAAACAUUUUACAAGUAUUGACUAAAUUGCAAACUAAAAAAUUGUACAUCUUUUUAAAAGAAACAAGACUCUCCUUUCUCGUCUAAAACGUAUCUUGUGAACUAAAGAUUAAAUGACAUCAACAUUUAUAUACAUGGACAUAACUACUAUUUUCCUAUCUACUGUUAUGUAUCCUAUCGUGCCAGUCAAUAGCUUUAAUCGGACGGAGGAUACCGUUUAUCGCGUUAUCGUGCCAGCACCGGUCGACCUAAACAGCGUUUCAACCUGCAAUUUUCCGUGAAUACACCAUUGACCAGCGACCGCGCGAAAAUACCCGGGUUAUAAAAUCCACGACAAGCAAUCCGCUGGCUGAAGCUUUGCCGACAAUCAAAUUUUGCAGCGAGGAUCACGACGAGUUGAUAGGGUUGAUUAAAUCAACAGAUCGAAACUUUAAGGCGGGCCGUGAUCAUUUAAUUUCACCGAACCGGAAAGGUUCUCAGGUGGACCUAGUAGCGCUUGUAACACCGCCAGCGCUGUCGAUAAAAAGUUCUUUCCAAAGGCAGACUGGAGGAAAGUGGGCAAAAGAGCAAAGAACGAGAACGCAUCCACCGAAUCACAAAUGAGUUACAAGACUCGAUUAAGCAUCUUCUAGAUGCAUUAUUAAGGGGCGGAAGAGCAAAGCAGGGAGUUAGAGGGAAAGAGAGAGAGAGAGAGAGAGAGGGAGAGGGAGGAGGCAAGAGUGUAGCUGAGUUAGCGAGAGGCAACUAAUGGGUUGUAACUAGUGUGUGCAGCGGAUUAUAUCUUCUCGGUCAAGCCGGUACAAGCCACUAUACGUAGAAACCUCUAGUGGAUGGGUGUGAGAAAGAUGGAGAAUACAACAAGAGAUGAUGAGAGUGGCGAGCCGUUAGAUAGAUAGAUAGAGAUGGAGAGAAAUAGAGAAAGAUAGAGGAGAAGGAGGGGGUGCGCAAAUGGGGUGUGGGAGAGAAAGGGCGGGGAGAGAGGCUUAACUCGGGACUUUAUGAAUGCCCGACUGCAGCGGAGGAGUUCAGGUAAGAUAAGGGCUUUCUACACCCUCUUCAUCCCACCGCCUCAGGGCUACCGUGUCUAUGCCUCUCUCUUCGUCUCGUCGAAAACGCUACAUCACCACCAAAUCCGGGCAACGGUUUCCCGGGCACGCAGCUACUCCCUCGCUUAUACUCACGUUCCGAUCGCUUAACGCCAGAUUUCGCAACUUCUGCCAUGAGACAGAAGCCUCAUUAAUAUUCGAACGGCGAUCUUUCAUCGUACCGAUGUUACUACGAUCUCGAUAUAAUGCGAAGUUCCGACAUUAUCGUCAUCAAAAGCGGUCCUUCAAAUGCACAACAUGCUAUCCGUUAAUCGAGAUCUUCUUCAACUAGACAAAGACUUGAUUUCGAUCUAUUGGUUUAACUUUGUAUUAUGUUUAUUAUUAGCAAGUGUGAAACACUAUGAAAUUAAAUUUCCGCUGGAUCAGAUAACUUUUGCACAAUAUAAAUAGUUUCAUAUUUUUUAAAUAUGACAGAAUUUAUAAUAAGAAUUUAUAUAUACAUAAAUUAUAUAAAAUUUGUCAUGAAUAUUUUAAAUUUUAAAUGGAAGUUAAGAGAACAAAUUAAUAUAAAUCAUUUCCAUAUAAAAUCUUCAAUAUAAGAAUCUCUUGCGCCCGAUUACACCUUGCUACCCAUCGAUGGAAAGGAGGUCACGAUAAAAACGUGGAUCGAAGUUUAGAAACUUAAAACGCAUUGUAAUAUCGCGCGAUUUGAAUCAGUGCUACAGGCGACGAACUUAGCAGAGAACUGGCAGAAUAGCUCAUCGACCGCCCGAUACGUCUCAUUUCGCGCGAGAGUACCUAUAACCUGGGCGAUAGGUCAGCUCGCGAAGGAAAAGAGCGCGCGAAUGCUUCUAGAGGAAAGGCAGGAUUUCAAUUUCAUGGCGAGCAAGGAGCCCAUUGGAGCCUUAUUCCGGCGUAUAAACAUAAACGGCGCAAAACGAUAAAAGUCGCUUGUGCCGUGUACGGAGCGCCGCGAGCAUGAGGGAGAAACGGUCGGAAGGAGGUCGAAGAAGAGAGAAAGAGAGAGAGAGUGAGAGUGAGUGAGUGACUGAACAGGGUGGAAAAGGGGAGCGGCGUAGAAGAGUGUCAGCGGCCUGGCAGGUGUGAGGAAAAAGGAGUGCCCGCGUUAGAAGGAGCGAGAGUCACUGAGAGAAAGGGGAUCCGUCGGGGUGGAUUCGCGAGCGAAAUAUAUUUCCCGAGCGGGACACGAAUUACCGUGGAAACGAGAAAAAUAAUGAAACUCGUUCUGAAAUCUGUUAAAGUGAAUAUUAUUUAAAUCUGCCGGCGUAACCGGGAUAUCGCGUGAACGAUUACGCCUGCGACGAGAGAACACGUCGGUAGGCGACUAACUACCGUAUGUUCUCUCUCUCUCUCUCUCUCUCUCUCUCUCUCUCUCUCUCUCUCUCUCUCUCUCUUUCUCUUUCUCUCGUCGUUAACAUCGUUAGGUGUUCACACAGUGUGUUCUUCACGGCACCACGGCACUAGUGAUAGCGGUGACGCUACGAUACCAAUAUUACCGUUCUGCUAUUGGCGUUCGUGAAAACCACUACCGCGUGAAUACCGUUACCGUCGUGGACUCCAAACUCACCUCGUCGCGCCUCUGACUUCUAGCAUCUAGCCGGCGGAUAACCCCAAGCUUGUAGUAUUAUUUCUAGUAUAUGCGCGCGCGCGCGCGUGUGUUUUGCAUUAAUACACCGGUCGGCCACGUGUGUGCGUACCGCCGCCCACAUAUUCUGUCCUGUUUCCGCAUGCCCGCUCCGCUCGCCUAUCUGCGUUCAUGCGAUGGUCACCGUACAAUCGGCGGCCAUAAAAAGCGAUAGCGGCCGACGGAAUAUCUGCAAAACCGCUCCCGAGGCUCCUGCUUGCUUUUAUUCGCUCAUCCCCGACGCCGCCGGCCGCUUUCCCGAUGAUCCGGUUAUCUACGUGCCGCUCGUCCGAUAUCAGCCAAGUAUAAAUGUGUCAUUAGGAGAACACGUCCGAUAUCAGUCGAGUAUAAAUGUAUCAUUAAGAGAACUCAUGCGCGGCAAUUCACGAGUAUGUGUCGGCGAUUGCGCUAUUUGCGUUAGCCGCGAUCGUGCGUCGCGCGGCCGGCAACCUGAUCCGAUGUAUACCUAUAUCCGGACGGACAAGUGAUAUCUUACCACAUUCAAUGAUCGGUUUGGCGGCCCAGAUUAUGCAAAAUCGAAUUUCUGUAUAUAGUCGCCUAGCGAAAUAAGAGAUGGGAAUCUGACGCUCAUUCGAAAUAUAAUCGAACGAAAUAUAGAUAUCCCGUUUUUGUCGGAAAACCGCAGAUUUUAUCGCGAAUAAAAAAAGAGUAGACCGACGUGAAAUCAUGAAACGAACAAGAUAAUGAGAAAGCUAAUUUUUCUUUCUGCCAUUUCUAGACCAAAAAGUGUACAUGAAUAUCAUUUAUUCUUAUCACUUAUUAUUAUUAUUAUUAUUAUUCACGAGAGAGAACGUUAUUUUUUUAGAAACGUUUUAAUGCGAUUAAAGAUAGCACUGGGAUAAUUGUGUCCGAGUAGAAAAAUCCUCAUUAAUUUUGCACGUUUCUAUCAUAAAUUUAGUUCGAGUGUCACACAUUAAAUGUGAAAGAGCAAAAGUUCAUGCUAAAACGACACUAAAGAUUUUGCAGGAACGAUGACGGGUUAAAAAUACGUCGACGCUCAUAACGAUACUUCGGACAUCGCUUGCGAUAUUAUCUCUGGCACUCUCGGGAAUUCCUUCUCGCCUCGGCGGGUGCCUUUUAUGCCCGUAAUAUCGGGCGCGUGUUACGCGGUCCCGACGGCACCGUCGCAGAUCGCCAUUGGCCGAUAACGAUAUUCUGUCAAUGUUACGCGCGCAUCGGGAUGGGGGACCGAGGGUUGUCGUCAUAUGUGCGCUACGAAACAGAAGACAGAGAGAGACGGAGAAAGGGAGAGAGAGAAAGAGAGAGAGAGAGAGAGAGACAGAGAUAGGGAUAGAUGGAGGGUAGGUCGAAAUCUUGAUCGCGUCACAUCGUCGCUGCGUCGAAACGUCCGCUAUACGACAUGACAGUUAUGCACCGGAGAUGCCCGAUGCCCUGUCAUUACGCGGGGAUAAAUCUUUCGGUGGGGCCCGCGAGGCUUCCAGAUGUUCGUCGAGAUCGCGUCACGGUUGGACGACUGCGGUGUCGAGCAUGAAACGCGACACGAUGUCAAGCCGCGAGAGGAAGUGCGUUAUCUGCGGACCGCUCUGCGCCGAAUAUCGGCUUGUUUGUGUUUAUCCGCAUACUCGACGUGUUGACGGUAAUACAGGUGGAACGAUCGGUUUGAACUAGGCGAAGUUUGCAUUACCUAGGUUUACCCCGUAUCCCGCUAGUGAACCGAUUAGCCGCUGCGUUAGUAAGUCGACGCGAUUGUCUGACCAAGUGUCGCUAUACAUUUUUCAAAACAGUUUAAAAUCUUUUGAAGAAAGAGAGAGUUAAGAAGAAAGAAAUAAGAAAGAAAAAUAUCAGGUAAUGACAAAAUAGGAAAUCAAAAGGCCAAAAAAGUAAAAAGGAGCUAAAUAACGCGUGCAAAUCGUGUGAUUGUGGUAUCUAGUAUAUUAAAAAAUUGAUUUAAAUAUAUUCAUGAAUUUUUGUCACGUAUCUGCGUUUGAUUAUGUUCGUAAUUUCAUUGCAGAGUAUUUAAUAUAAUAUAUUGAUAUAUCACUUAAUCAACUUUCUGGACACGCGUCCAGAUAUUUCUUGAGUAAUUUCUUUUCGUAUAAUACUCAUUCCACGUAGCAGUACAAAUCAUUCUUAAAAAAUAUAUAUCUCUAGUAUGAAAUAAUAUUUGGCCGUCCUACGAUGUGCGUGACGGUCGUACCGGCACGAAAAAAAUCUAAGCUAUGGCAAGACCAUCCGGUAACACCAGUUACGAUCCUAGCAGGCAAUUUAGAAUGGUGUGGACACGUCCGCCAUAACCGUACCGGAUGUGUCUGGACAUAUGGUAUGCGCACGAUUAAACUAGGGUGACCAGACCUUCCUCAGUCAAUCCUGAGUAAGAGUUUUCUCAUUUCCUGUCCCCUGUAUAUCGCUAAUAUUUUCGCAAAGAGCACCGUGACAUGGGUAGACGGUAAAUGACAUCGUGUCGUAAUCUUACUUUAUAAUCGAUUUGUAAAUUGUUUUUUAGUUUUUUCUCAAUUACCCUACAUACAAUCUGCUAUUCUAACAUUUGUAUUUCGAUUGUUAUUCUUAUCCAUUUUUUACCUAUUUGUUACGUUUAAUUAGAAAUCUUAAUUUUCAAGAGUUUUCCCUCAAGUCGGUCAAUUAACCGACGUUAAUUUAUUACAAUGAGUUUCUCCAGUUUAUUUUAGAACAAAUAGAGAGAUAGGUACAAAUAAAAUCGAAGGAAAUUUUGAGGUACUUAUGUUCACGCCAAGGUGGUUUACCACGGAAGAAUGAGCGGAAAUGAAAUUACUUUGCAAAUAUUCAUUGAGAACACGCAUUUCAAGACCCAUUUUAAAAUCUAUUUUCCACCUCGUAACGCAAAAUCCGACAAGUUACAAGCUUGUGCUUUCGGGUCAAAUGCAGCCCGAGAAAUCGCCGCCGCGCAGCGAAAUUAUAUAACCGCCAUUAUUUCCUUCAUUAUUACAGUUUGCCGGUAAAUGUCUGCUGCAAGUAGAGUUGUGCGUUAUUAUUACUCUUUAACAAUAUCAAAAGAAACAGUUUCGUCCAACAACCGUGAUGUUUCUGUUUGUUCGUAAGCUAUAUAAAAAGUACGAUGCACGAAACCAAUUACGUAGAGUUGAGGUUUAUUUGAAAUGCCGUUCCACCUACUUCACACGUAUCUUUAAGAGAACUUGGCCGAUACACGUAUUCCUUUUACAAUUACAUGGUGUGAUUUGCUCAUUUCACCAUACAAAAGCCGCGCUCUUCUCGAAAAAGUAAUUUACAAAAAAAAAAAAAAAAAAAGAGCACGAUGAAUUGGAUAGCGGGCGAAUUACCUUCGUAAAUUCAAACAUCGAGAGCUGUGGUGAACGAGAACAAGGGCGAAAACGAGUUUCUGUCCUCUCGCAACUGUUCUACAAUUCCGCGCGAAUGUCAUCGUCGGCGUUGAAGGAACGGCGAAUAGCCUAGGUGAAAGAAUCGCGAUUAUUCGCAUGUUCAUUAAAACGCAAACGAAUUCCAUGCGUCCUCCGUGCCGGCCAACCCGAACAGUUCCGUCAUUGUGUCUCCGUUUCUUUUUCUCUUUCUCUCUUCUUCGUUACACGUCGCACCGUAUCGGACGAAUUCCGUGUAAACGAUUACGUGCCACUCUCGUGGAACCGGCGUUGGCGUAGCUUCUGUGUCGCCCGGCCGGACUCGCAAACCGACAGUUACGGUUGUUCUUUGCACCGCAAUCGCUCGGUCUUGCGAAGGACCACCACCCCGGGUGUUGCAGCGACUUCUUUCCCCGCCCCUCGGCUUUUCCAGCCUCUCCUCGUUUGUCACACGCACCGCACGACGCCACAAUAUAACUUCGUUUCAUUUGCAACCGCAUCCAUUAAUACCGUCCGUUGGCGUGGCCUGUAACUCUUCCGUGCCGUGCAAGAAAAUCGAUGUCCAUCGACUGUGCCGUCUCGCUGCCACGUUUUUUUCCUCCCCCGACCUCUAGUGAAACCGAGCGAAUAAAUUAGAAUCUUGAAUGGAACUCACGAUCGGCAAGGAGAAAUAUGUACCUUUCAAUCGGAACGUAUAUAUUCGACAUUUCUUAUGUAUAUAAGCGAUCGCACCUGCUAAAUAUAUAAUUUGUUUCUUUCGUCGCGUUGUAAAUUUAUUUUACAUAACAAUGAAUCAUUUUAGUUUCUAUUUUUUACAGCAUUAUUUAGUGUCGUAUUUAAUGAUUGUGACAAAAAUGAUGGUUUAUAUAAUCUAUUUCCUAAUCUAUACACACACACACACACACACACACACACAUACACACAUGCGCGUGCAAGUGUAGUAAUUUAGAAAUUUUUGUAAUUCCGAGACAAUACACCCCCUAUUAUGCGUGCGGUUGGAGAUUUUGUCACGAUUUUAUGUCUGAUCGACAGCGGUGUUCAAACGUUUUGUUUUCUGUUUCUGUCUCAUGCACCUUCGCCUUCUUCAACGCCAUUUAUCACACCUAUCGUACGGGACCGCGAUAGAGCUUCGUUUCAUUUGCAACCGCGUCCAUUAAUACCGCACACAUUGUUUUCUGCCGUUUCUCGUGCGCACGCAAAAAUCGAUGUUUGCUGACCUCUCUCGCGCGGUGUACAAUGGGUUAUGCUUUAAUGAUGUAAAAAUACGCGUAAAAAUAUGCUACACUUCCUUCUCUGUGUGUCAAUGAGAAACUGCUUGACAGAUUUCGAAUCAAUUUUUUUCCUCAGCAAAACUUUGAUGAGAAACUAUCAUAUGCCGCAACUUCUUAAUUUUAAAGAUUAAAUAUCUUGGCACACAAACAAACUUUAAAUUAAAUUUUUAUAAAGUAAAAUCCAGUUCCAAUUAACCGAAAGAUAAAAUUGGUUUAUGUUUUCACUGUUGAGAAACUCAAUUUGUCAAAACUUUUAAUAUUUUACAUUACAUAUUUCUUUAUUGUUUACUAUUCCAUUUUGCGCUGCAAAAUGUUGUCUUCAAUUUUAUUAAAAAGUAAUUAGAAAAAAAUUCAUGUUUGAUAAAGCUUAUAAUCAAACGAAGGGAUUGUGUGCAGAACGGUUAAUUACUCUUCUGUUAUUAUUUCAGAGCAUCGUUUCGGGCUUCGAAAAAGUUGCGAUGAGUAGGAGCAUUACGCAAUACGGUAAUACAAUUUGAAGAUUAAUGAUCAUCUUUGGGAGAUUGCAAGAAAAAAUACUUGAUCAUCCGCUGUCCACCGCAUACUUCGUGUACUGUUGACCAUAGACGAGACCAGGAAAAAAAAAACAAUAUAAGUAACGGCAAACAAUAUAAGAUGAAAAGAGUUUUGAAGAUAAUAGAAAUUUUAUUAGAAGCAGCGUUUAUCGAAAAUGAAUGAGCAUUAACGAGGAUUUACCACCUUCAUUAACAAAUGGCAUGACAAUUUAUCCAGUUCAGGACAUAUAUACGAGAGGUAUUGCUACUACCGUUUUUAAAAUACUUCUUGGAUUUAUUUUAUCUUUGUAUUGCGAAUAUAAUAUACAUUCGCGCUUAUGAGAUAUACCUAGAAUGCAUGUUCAUAAACGUCGUAAAUGAACGAGGUUCACGAGCUUAAUUCACGUCGCUAAUUUUCACGAAACCUACGUGUAAUGUGAUCGCACUCGAGCGGGCAGGAGCAAUGCGGCCUUCGAAAUUCCGGAGGUAACCGUCCACGAAGAUGCGGUGGAGCUCUCGCUCCUUACCGCACGCCAGCUUUCCACCCGACUAUCCCUCGCCCUUUCAUCCACGCUCUCUUGCUGUCUCGCGAUAUCGGUAGACUAAUUGGCAGCCAGCUUCCCUCGAACCCGACGUGGCCGCCGCCACCGCCGUAUCGACGUCGCGUCGACACGAAAUGAGAUCCGACGAAAUUUCGUUUAAAACUUAGCCGACGAGCGGCUUACGCUCGUCGACCGCGGCCGCCGGUUCAAAGCCGCAAAGCUACUUUCUCUUAUCUCCCGGUGUGGUUGCUGCUCGAAAGCUGCGUUACACAGCGAGAUAGUGCGUGUGCCAAGAUAGCGCGCGGCCUAGCCAACGACAAGAGAUCUAAAUACUGUUGACGUUUUGAAACAAUAUAGUCAGCCGGGUCACGCUAACUUUGACGAUGGUCUGUACUCUAACUAGCCGAGCCCAGGCGCCAACUGCUAACUCCGUUAGCCCGGAGCAGCUCGAGCCUUUCUCUUUCCCUCUCGCACUUGCGCUGUGCUAUUGCCUCUGCCAUUGCAGCUACUUACUUGGUGUUGCCGCUGGUACAUUAUUGCAUCAGACAACAAUGAACCUAACUGCCAAAAUAGAAGGUCCCUUGGUUAUUUAAUGAGCCGACGUAUAAUGUAGUUUGUCGAUUACAGCAUUGUUCGCUAGAUGAUAACGCGUGGCUUCGAAACGUUUGCCUUUGCUAAGAUCUUUCGCCUUUGGCCGUUUCACAAAGUUUCGUGCUAUUCCGUGCAUCGAUGGAAAAUACAGGUUGCAAUGAGAUGUUUGUAAUGAGGACAUUUGUAUAAUUGAUAUUAGGUACAUACGUUGUUUAACAUACGUUGUAAGACAAAAUUAACAUAUAACACUGUAAAGAAACACGUCUAAAGUUAUUACUGAAAUAAUUGUUAAUGAAAAUUUGUUAAGAGUUAUAUCUUAUAUAAAAUUCAUGAGAAAUUGAGAUUGAAAGUGUUCCGCUUGUAACUCUUUCAUAUUCUAAAUCAGUAAUCCGAAUAAUUGAGAAAUACAUACGUACACAUUUAAGUUUUAGAUGAUACAAAAAAAUUAUUUAUCACAUUUAAUACAUGCCUAGUUCCGUAUGCGAUUUUCUUUUUUCGCUCGCGUUUCUGGAUGACUAUUAACAUUAAGCUUUUAACGAGGAACACGUUUACGCGAAACCCGAUUUAACUUCGGCCAGGGGUUCGAUACCAGCCGGUAACUCGGUUAGUCCGGUAAUCGCAUUUGAGGCAUGGAUCGUUAACUUAUCGCACCGCGGCAAAUUUUACGUCGUGAUUUAAAGGACCGAUCCGCUCAGGGCAAUCGACGAGGAUUUAUCCCGAUCCGUCAAGCUGGAUGAAAUUCUUUGUUGAAAUCUAACAGUAGAAAUUUUAUUCUUUCGCUUAAGAUAUUCGUUGUGAUUGAAUAAUAUUAUAGUAGUUGUCUGAAGCGACAGCAUGCGAUAUGAUGCGGUAAUCAUGCGUGUGAAAUAAUAAUCGCGCGUGAUGACAUAUGUAUGAAAAA